GAUGAACGCUGGCGGCGUGCCUAAUACAUGCAAGUCGAGCGAACAGAUGAGGAGCUUGCUCCUCUGACGUUAGCGGCGGACGGGUGAGUAACACGUGGAUAACCUACCUAUAAGACUGGGAUAACUUCGGGAAACCGGAGCUAAUACCGGAUAAUAUAUUGAACCGCAUGGUUCAAUAGUGAAAGACGGUUUUGCUGUCACUUAUAGAUGGAUCCGCGCCGCAUUAGCUAGUUGGUAAGGUAACGGCUUACCAAGGCAACGAUGCGUAGCCGACCUGAGAGGGUGAUCGGCCACACUGGAGCUGAGACACGGUCCAGACUCCUACGGGAGGCAGCAGUAGGGAAUCCUCCGCAAUGGGCGAAAGCCUGACGGAGCAACGCCGCGUGAGUGAUGAAGGUCUUCGGAUCGUAAAACUCUGUUAUUAGGGAAGAACAAAUGUGUAAGUAACUAUGCACGUCUUGACGGUACCUAAUCAGAAAGCCACGGCUAACUACGUG
rnacentral:rRNA from 1 species